rfam:Marchantia polymorpha subsp. polymorpha scaffold163, whole genome shotgun sequence.
UUCAGGGCAGUGAUGAUCAAAUAUCACCUAUUUUGUGAGGAAUUGAAUUCCAAGGAGCAGAAAAUACCAAUGGAUCCUGCUGAGUCUUGA